rnacentral:misc_RNA from 1 species
AGUUCGCCAGACUGCACUUAAGGUGAGAACAUCAAAUUUUGUGUUUUUGCCCUGGUCUCUCAACUCAAUGCUGUAAACCUAGCUGCAGCUUGCAUGAGAGGAUAAGGCCAAAGCAAUCAACAUGUUAUUUAUGGCCUAAGGAAAUUUGGAAAAUGAAAGCUAUGAGCAUAAUAACAGUUUAAUAAUUUUCAAGUUGAAUAACAAAAUAGUUCUUUUCCAGCAAUUUUUAAUUGAUGUCCUAGUAUAGGAACUAGAUGAAAAAUUUAUUGGUAUGAUAGCUCUUAUGCACCUUGCUAGAGAGCACAUGUUCUCACUGAAUUUUUGAGUUAUGUCCUGAGUUUUAUAUUUUUUGCUAUGCUCUUAAUGCAGAUUGUGGAGGUAGUGCUACGG